rnacentral:rRNA from 1 species
UACGUAGGGUGCGAGCGUUAAUCGGAAUUACUGGGCGUAAAGGGUGCGCAGGCGGUUAUAUAAGACAGAUGUGAAAUCCCCGGGCUCAACCUGGGAACUGCGUUUGUGACUGUAUGACUAGAGUACGGUAGAGAGGGGUGGAAUUCCUGGUGUAGCAGUGAAAUGCGUAGAUAUCAGGAGGAACAUCGAUGGCGGAAGGCAGCCCCUUGGACCUGAUACUGACGCUC